rnacentral:rRNA from 1 species
UGUAAGCGUAUACCAAAGUUGUUGCAGUUAAAACGCUCGUAGUCGGAAUUUGGCAGUUCCGGAAGUGUGCACGUCGUGUGCGCACUUUGCGGGGACUGCUUUUGUGGUCUUGCGUAGGAUGAGGCACUUUCAUUAGUGAACGUCCUCACGCAACCACUCUUUACUGUGAGAAAAUCAGAGUGCUCAAAGCAGGCAUUUGCCGUGAAUGUAUUAGCAUGGAAUAAUAGAAUAGGACUCGGUUCUAUUUUGUUGGUUUGUUUGGACUGAGUAAUGAUUAAGAGGGACAGUUGGGGGCAUUUGUAUUCCGGCGCUAGAGGUGAAAUUCUUAGAUUGCCGGAAGACAAACUGCUGCGAAAGCGUCUGCCAAGGAUGUUUUCAUUGA